rnacentral:rRNA from 1 species
GUCUACGGCCAUGCCACCCUAAACACGCCUGAUCUCGUCAGAUCUCAGAAGCUAAGCAGAGUCAGGCCUGGUUAGUACUUGGAUGGGAGACCAUCUAGGAAGACCAGGUGCGUAGUAA